UACGGAGGAUGCAAGCGUUAUCCGGAAUGAUUGGGCGUAAAGCGUCCGCAGGUGGUAUUUCAAGUCUGCUGUCAAAGAGUUUGGCUCAACCAAAUAAAGGCAGUGGAAACUGAAAAACUAGAGUGCGUUCGGGGUAGAGGGAAUUCCUGGUGUAGCGGUGAAAUGCGUAGAGAUCAGGAAGAACACCGGUGGCGAAAGCGCUCUACUAGGCCGCAACUGACACUGAAGCACGAAAGCGUGGGGAGCAAACAGG
rnacentral:rRNA from 1 species